GUUUCAGCUUGUGUGUCUUGUUCAGUGGUGGUCGUCUUUCAGCCUUUCUUACCUUGGCCAUGUCUCUGAGUAUUGCACACCUUGUGCUUUUGGGCACUCCAGUGAUGUUGCAGCUCUGAAAUAUGGCCAAACUGGGGGCAAGUGGCAUCGUGGCAGCUGCACGCUUGACUUUUCUCAGUUCAUGGGCAGUUAUUUUGCGCCUUGGUUUUUCCACACGCUUCUUGCGACCCUAUUGACUAUUUUGAAUGAAACGCUUGAUUGUUCGAUGAUCACGCUUCAGAAGCUUU